rnacentral:rRNA from 1 species
GCUAGCGGCGCGCUUAAUGCAUGCAAGUCGAACGAUGAGUGCCCCUACGGGGGUACAUCAGUGGCAGACGGGUGAGCAACACGUAGGUAACCUGCCCUCGAGACGGGGAUAACGGCUGGAAACGGUCGCUAAGACCCGAUAUAGUCUGACCUUCGGGAGAAGGUGAGAGGAAAGGCUUCGGUGCUCGGGGAGGGGCCUGCGGCCCAUCAGCUAGUUGGAGAGGUAACGGCUCCCCAAGGCAAUGACGGGUAGGGGGUGUGAGAGCAUGGCCCCCCACACUGGGACUGAGACACGGCCCAGACUCCUACGGGAGGCAGCAGCAGGGAAUAUUGCGCAAUGGACGGAAGUCUGACGCAGCGACGCCGCGUGGAUGACGAAGGCCUUCGGGUUGUAAAAUCCUUUUCCGGGCGAUGAGGCAGGACACUAGCCUGGGAAUAAGCGUCGGCUAACUACGUGCCAGCAGCCGCGGUAAGACGUAGGACGCGAGCGUUAUCCGGAUUUACUGGGCGUAAAGCGCCUGCAGGCGGUCAGGUAAGUCGGUUGUGAAAGCCCCGUGCUCAACGCGGGGAGGCCAAGCGAUACUGCGUGACUUGAGGGCGGAAGAGGGGAGUGGAAUUCCCGGUGUAGCGGUAAAAUGCGCAGAUAUCGGGAGGAACACCAGUGGCGAAGGCGGCUCCCUGGACCGCACCUGACGCUCAGAGGCGAAAGCUAGGGGAGCGAACAGGAUUAGAGACCCUGGUAGUCCUAGCCCUAAACGCUGGAUGCUAGGUGUAGGGCUGAUGAGGCUCUGUGCCGGAGCGAACGCGAUAAGCAUCCCGCCUGGGAACUACGGCCGCAAGGCUAAAACUCAAACGAAUUGACGGGGACCCGCACAAGCAGCGGAGCGUGUGGUUUAAUUCGAUGCUACACGAAGAACCUUACCUGGGUUUGACAUGUUGGUGGUACCGAACCGAAAGGGGAGGGACCCUUCGGGGACCACACAGGUGCUGCAUGCGUGUCAGCUCGUGCCGUGAGGUGUCGGGUUAAGUCCCGUAACGAGCGCACCCUUGCUCUUAGUUAUACGCGUCUAAGGGGACUGCCGGCGACAAGCCGGAGGAAGGUGGGGAUGACGUCAAGUCAGCAUGGCCUUGAUAUCCAGGGCUACACACACGCUACAAUGGCCGGUACAAAGGGCAGCCAAGCCGCGAGGUGGAGCGAAUCCCAGCAAAGCCGGUCCCAGUUCGGAUUGCAGGCUGCAACCCGCCUGCAUGAAGUUGGAGUUGCUAGUAACCGCGCGUCAGCCAUAGUGCGGUGAAUACGUACCCGGGUCUUGUACACACCGCCCGUCACGUCAUGGGAGUUGGCAACGCCUGACAGCGGUAGCCUAACCGAAAGGAAGGCGCCGACUAAGGCGGGGCU